CAGACAACCAGGAUGUUGGCUUAGAAGCAGCCACUCAUUAAAAGAGUGCGUAAUAGCUCACUGGUCGAGUGACCCUGCGCCGAAAAUUUAACGGGGCUAAACAGUAUACCGAAGCUUGGGAUUCCGUAAGGGAUGGUAGGAGAGCGUCGAAUGAGGGGUGAAGUCAUAGCGGAAGCGGUGGUGGACUUCAUUCGAGUGAGAAUGCCGGAAUGAGUAGCGCGAAAUGUGUGAGAAUCAUAUUGGCCGAAAGUCUAAGGUUUUUGGAGGAAGGUUCGUCCGCUCCAAGUAAGCCGGGAGCUAAGGCGAGGCCGAAAGGCGUAGUCGAUGCACAUACGGUGGAAAUUCCGUAGCCGCCGAAAGAUUUAAGAUAAGUGACACCCUGGAAAGGCAUGACCCGGGCGAUGGUUGCCCCGGGCGUAAGGGACCGAAAUUAGAGUAGGGAAGCAUGUUAGACCGGGGGCGAGAAAAGCUUAUUGUAUAUCUUAGGCGCCCGUACCGCAAACCGACACAGGUAGAUGGGAAGAGAAUUCUAAGGCCAACGGGAGAAGGGUAGUUAAGGAACUCGGCAAAUU
rnacentral:rRNA from 1 species